GUAAAUAAGUCCUCUAUUUAUUUUAAGGAUUGCAAUGAUUCAUAUUUGUCACCGUGGGUACCAGCGCUGUGUCCUGGGACUGGUACUGAGAUCGCGGUUUCGUAGGAAGCGGUUUGCGCCGUUUUCCCUAUGACAUGCUCCUGUCAGGUGCCGUUGUACGGCGGUACCAGAUUGGGGUGUGACACAUUGAUGGCUGAAAAAUUUGUCAUAUCAUCUAGUGGGCUAUGGUAUGUAGUUGUAGCUUUUUGCUCCUUGGGCAGGCCAAAAUUUGCAUGCACAGACAGCUUGUUGUCCUCUCUGUUGGAAAUUUGUUCAUAAUUCGGUAUAUUUUAAUCCAAAAUAUUAAGACAAUAAACAUGACAUUUAUAAUUUGAGUAGAUCUAGUGACAGUGCUAGAUGUGUACAACAUGAGCGUACUUAAUAUAAAAUAAGCACCAACAUAGAUAAGGCAACGCCCAAUAACAUUGCGACUGACAGUAGUAGAAAAUUAAGAACGAACGGUAAUAGUAAAUUAUUAUACCCCGAGAAUGGCCCUCCGCUGGAGUUUGAGGUAGUAUUGCCUCCGUUGGUGUUGAUGGGUGCCUCCUUCUCCUUGUCUCCAGUGUUAUUGUUGUCGCUGAUAUUCGACAUAUUGGCGAAGACGAUGCAGAGGAAGACGAACAAAAGCAGUCACGCAUAGCGCUCCCUAAAAACUUGAUCGCCCACCUACCCGUGCAGGUUCUCAAGCAGACGGAGUUCCGGAGGCACCUGCUUGUUCCGAUCACCCGUGCGUGCGGGAUGAACAGAACCGGGGAAAUGGAGAGACAACGCAGGAACAUAAGGAGAGUAUCGCCUAGGAACAGCAGCAGGAGGAAGACUCGAUCUUUGAGAGCCUCUGCCUUGCAUUAUAUAUAGAGAGAGAUCUCCAUUACCACACAAAUAAAUCUCAUUUGUUGUGAAGAUUACCACAAAAUAAAUCUCAUUUGUUGCGAAGAUUACCACACAAUGAAUCUCUCAUUUGUUGUGGAGGUUACAACAAAUAAAUCUCUCAUUUGUUGUGGAUGUUACAACACAAUGAAUCUCUCAUUUGUUGUGGAGGUUACAACAAAUAAAUCUCUCAUUUGCUUUGGAGGUUACAACACAAUGAAUUUGAUUUGUUAAUAGUGACUUUAUUCUCGUCUGUUACAAAAUGAAAGAGCAACAAGCAGGCUCGGCUCGGCCGGCCGUCUCGCCUCGCCACGCCCACAGCCGAGGCCAACUUGGCACGCGCGCGUGUGUGGAAGUCCAACCAUCACCUCAACCGGUCAAUAGGGAAUCUCCAAUAUCACCCUAUUUAAGUUGAGGUUCUUCCACCUAAAUUUUCAAGGCAGUAUUAUUGUCUCUAACAUUACUUGUGGGCUCUUGAGAUUUUAAUUGAAUUAAAUUGGGCCUACCCCAUUUAUUCCAAGACUCUCACCAUUCAUCUUGAACAUCUAGAACCCUAAUCGUUGUGCGCAAGCAAGAGUCUAGCACAAUUGCAACAACUUCAUCUAGUCUUGGAGGUUGGGAAACAAAUCCUCUAUUGUAGAGCUAAUACUGCACAGGUGCUGUAGCGAUCAAAUCAAGCCAUCCGAUUAGAUUAAGCGGCUCUGAUUCUGUCCUUAAACACCGAAAAUAUUUUUGAUAAUUUGGAAACUAACAAACUGAUUUUAAGGAGGAAAAGUCAAGAUAACCUUGAUGGAGGGAAAAUCACGAAUCCUCCAGAGUACUUGGCGCCAAAAUAAUACAGGUUCUCCUUUUGCUUUCUUCCUCCUUGGGACUUGGUGCCAAAAGGAGAUACAGAGGUUUCACUUUGCCUUGUUCUGUCCAGAAACUUUGAUGAUCAAAUAAAGUAAGCCAUCAGUCUCCAACGAACAGGUAUGUAUGCCAUGUCUUGUACCCUUUUUGUGAUCAUGUCCUCACAAAAAAAACCAAAAGCAUUGUUGUGGGAUUCUUAUGAUUGGAGUGGAUACACUCUACACUCGUGUAGUGCUAAACAGAGUAUACAUACAAAUCUGAGGCCUUAUGGCGAACGACUCAAACUCCAACCAUCAUAAUUCAAAUAGCACAAAUAUGAUUCCUAGUUGGAUUCCUCAAUUUGGCGUGAAAUUUAAAUCUACAAAAGAGGCAUGGGAAUUUUGGACUUAUUAUGGAGGUCAUACUGGUUUUGAUGUUAGGAUAAAUUAUGAAAAUAAGAGUAAAGUUGAUGGAGUAAUUACUUCUGCAAGAUAUGUUUGUUCCAAUGAGGGAUACCGGGCAAUAGACAAAAGAGAUCACAACACCAAGCGUCCUCGUGCUGAAACAAGAACAGGUUGCAAAGCUCGGAUCGGAAUCACAGUAGAUAGAGAAGUGGGCGAUUAUUCAGUAUAUGAUUUAGUUCUUGAACAUAACCAUGAACUUUAAUUGCCUUCAACAUGCCAUUUGAUGCCAUCACAAAGAAAGAUAUCGUCAUUGCAAGCAUUUGAAAUUGAAACAAUGGAUGAUUCGGGCAUUGGACCAAAAGCUGCACAUGAGCUUGCUAGUCGGCAAGUUGGUGGUUCAGUAAACCUUGGUUAUACACGUCGUGGUCUCAAGAACCAUUUACAAACCAAGCGUCAAAGGGAGUUGAUGUAUGGCGAAGCCGGAAGUAUGUUGAAGUACUUUCAGGACAAAGUUGCAGAGAACACUUCAUUUCAUUAUGCCCUUCAGUUGGAUUGUGAAGAACAAAUAACAAAUAUUUUUUGGGCUGAUGCUAAGAUGAUAAUCGACUAUGCUCAGUUUGGAGAUGUUGUUACUUUUGACACAACAUUUGGGACAAACAAAGAAUACAGGUCCUUUGGUGUCUUUGUUGGAUUCAACCAUUUUAGAGAGAGUCAUUUUUGGAGCCGCUCUUUUGUAUGAUGAAACAUAGGGUGAUGGCAUGGAGCAUAACAUAUUUGAUACUACCUGGAAUUUUGGGUUCAAUGCAAAUUUGGAUGGGAGAUAGCUAGAUGCCUAGGUAUCAAAUUGAGAUUAACAAA